UGGGGGAUAUUGCACAAUGGGCGAAAGCCUGAUGCAGCGACGCCGCGUGGGGGAUGAAGGCUUUCGGGUUGUAAACCUCUUUCGCUAUCGAACAAGGCCCGCUUAGGGUGGGUUGAGGGUAGGUGGAGAAGAAGCGCCGGCUAACUACGUGCCAGCAGCCGCGGUAAUACGUAGGGCGCGAGCGUUGUCCGGAAUUAUUGGGCGUAAAGGGCUUGUAGGCGGCUUGUUGCGCCUGCUGUGAAAACGCGGGGCUUAACUUCGCGCGUGAAGUGGGUACGGGCAGGCUUGAGUGUGGGAGGGGUGACUGGAAUUCCAGGUGUAGCGGUGGAAUGCGCAGAUAUCUGGAGGAACACCGAUGGCGAAGGCAGGUCACUGGGCCAUUACUGACGCUGAGGAGCGAAAGCAUGGGUAGCGAACAGG
rnacentral:rRNA from 1 species